AAAAAAGAGCAUUGAAGCAUUAAGGUAGAUACUGAAUAUUUUUACAGAUGAUGUACCAAACAAUAGUGAAUUAAAGAUGUAACGAUGAUAUAACUUUAAUGACCGUUCCAAGAAUUAUAAAUGAUAUAAAAAACAUUUUGU